ACGGAGAUAGAUAACGGAACUGACAGGAACAGAAAACCAAAUGCCGCAUGUUCUAGCUUAUAAGUGGGAGCUAAACAUUGAGUACACAGGGACACAAAGAAGAAAAUGACAGACACUGAGGCCUACUUGAUGGUGGACAGUGGGAAGGAGGAAUAUCAAUAAGUUCCAAUUGAAGAGCGGAUUCUUUUGCAAUUCAGGCAUGUGCCGGCGAUAACGGGCGAGUUGGCAUGAAGAGAGGCAGAGAUGGAUUAAUUAUGCAGAGAACAUGGAAAUUCUGCUUAUCAUCGGCUAGCAAAGGAGCCCGGCUCACAUAAUCAGCAAACGAAGGGAGAGGAAAAAAUAACAAUGCAAUGGCACCUUCCAGCCCAUCAUCAGGAUUUUUUCUACCCCCUUGUAAUUAAAAAAUAACAUACACUUAUA
rnacentral:lncRNA from 1 species